rnacentral:rRNA from 1 species
CAAUUUAAACAACGAAGAGUUUGAUCCUGGCUCAGGAUGAACGCUAGCGACAGGCUUAACACAUGCAAGUCGAGGGGCAGCGGGGGUAGCAAUACCCGCCGGCGACCGGCGCACGGGUGAGUAACGCGUAUGCAACUUACCUAUCAGAGGGGGAUAACCCGGCGAAAGUCGGACUAAUACCGCAUGAAGCAGGGGCCCCG